UCCCCCCGGCAAUGGGCAAAGAGAUACCUUGUUGAUGGUGCUGUUUUUAUAUCAGUCAGGGGCAGAGCAGAUGGCAGUCCUUUGCUCAUCUUAGUUUGAUGCUUGGCUUGGUGGCCAAAGCUGUCUUAUACCUAGGACUCAGGA